GCUUUUGCCAGUUGAGAAGGGAAAUGUGAUAAAGGGAAACGUGUCAAUUUCUGAGCUGCCCAGGUCACUUGAAAAGAUUGUAGAAACCUCCAGCACCCUGUGGCUUGUGGACACUUUAUUUUCAGAACUAGAAAAAUGGAGUAUGUCUCAAGCUGCCUUGCUCUGACCUUCAGCAUCCUCCUACUUCUCCUUUAUGAGAUAUGGUAGCUACUCUGGAUAUGUGGACCAUCCUGGACAUUCCCUUCAUCUUAAUGUCAACUGAUUAAAACAUGAAUUGCAUCUUC
rnacentral:lncRNA from 1 species